CCUACGGGGGGCAGCAGUGAGGAAUAUUGGUCAAUGGACGCAAGUCUGAACCAGCCAUGCCGCGUGCAGGAAGACGGCUCUAUGAGUUGUAAACUGCUUUUGUACGAGGGUAAACGCAGAUACGCGUAUCUGUCUGAAAGUAUCGUACGAAAAAGCAUCGGCUAAUCCCGGGCAAGCACCCUCGGUAAUACGGGGGUUGGGGGCGGUAUCGGGUUUUUUUGGGUUUAAAGGGUGCGUAGGCGGGCUUUUAAGUCAGCGGUAAAAAUUCGGGGCCCAACCCCGUCCGGCCGUUGAAACUGGGGGCCUUGAGUGGGCGAGAAGAAGGCGGAAUGCGUGGUGUAGCGGUGAAAUGCAUAGAUAGCACGCAGAACCCCGAUUGCGAAGGCAGCCUUCCGGCGCCCUACUGACGCUGAGGCACGAAAGUGCGGGGAUCGAACAGGAUUAGAUACCCCUGUAGUC
rnacentral:rRNA from 1 species